GGAGAGGCCCUUGCAACGACCCUUAUGUGCCCCCACAGCCCCGUUGGGAACAGGAGGAGAACCUCAUCCUAACCUAAGCUGAGAUCGACUACGUCAGGAACAGAAGGAGAACCUCAUCCUGACGGUGACAAAAACCCGACUGCCCAACAAGACCGGAUGAAGGGGAAAGGCCCCUCAGUGGUACCUCUACACUUCUACGCAACCCCACAGAAAGCAAGGGGAGGACCCUCACUCCGAAAAGAGGAGGGAAAUUAAAAAGGAAAGCGAUGAAUUACAUCAACAAUAGAUGAAAAACAAACUAUAUCAAAAACAUAGGAAAAUUCGUCUCCACAA
rnacentral:lncRNA from 1 species